CCUACGGGGUGCACCAGUAGGGAAUCUUCGGCAAUGGACGAAAGUCUGACCGAGCAACGCCGCGUGAGUGAAGAAGGUUUUCGGAUCGUAAAACUCUGCUGGUAGAGAAGAACGUUGGUGAGAGUGGAAAGCUCAUCAAGUGACGGUAACUACCCAGAAAGGGACGGCUAACUACGUGCCAGCAGCCGCGGUAAUACGUAGGUCCCGAGCGUUGUCCGGAUUUAUUGGGCGUAAAGCGAGCGCAGGUGGUUUAUUAAGUCUGGUGUAAAAGGCAGUGGCUCAACCAUUGUAUGCAUUGGAAACUGGUAGACUUGAGUGCAGGAGAGGAGAGUGGAAUUCCAUGUGUAGCGGUGAAAUGCAUAGAUAUAUGGAGGAACACCGGUGGCGAAAGCGGCUCUCUGGCCUGUAACUGACGCUGAGGCGCGAAAGCGUGGGGAGCAAACAGGAUUAGAUACCCUUGUAGUC
rnacentral:rRNA from 1 species